UGAGAAACUUUCAAAAACAAUUCUUGGGUUAACAGAAGAACUUGCUGUUGUCACCAGCUGUCACGAAAAUCGUAGGUUAUGGCAGGAAAGCCAGUCCAUAAAGGGAAAUAACUCUUCCUGUUCAACAGAGAACAUAGAGGAAGUUGAUAGAAAUCUAACGGCAAGUAAGGACAUGAUUUCUUUACACUUGCCACAUACAACAGACGUGUGUGCCACAGUUAAGAACUCCUCACUUACCAGUCCAGAAUAUAAAAGGCAUACGCCCAUAUCUGUGAGAAGCUGCAGAGACCAUUGAAGGAGAACAUGGCAACAAUGAAAGUUCUGAUAAUGGCAAAAAUGGACUGAAGCCUUGCUGUGUAAAAGUUAGAUAAACUGUUUGUUUUUUCCCUUGAGGAUGUGGUAAGAAUUUUAAAAAGAUAAGAAUAAUGAUAGAUAUCCUGAAAUGUAAAAUAGACUGAAAUCAUGGUCUAUUUCAUGACCUCUUUGAAAAGUACAUCCUUAUACUUUUGACCACUGAAAUUUUAACCAUUAGAAAUUGUAAUCUUUUAUACUAACCUAGCUGACAAUAAAAUAUUAUCUCUGUACUCAGUGA